rnacentral:rRNA from 1 species
CCUACGGGAUGCACCAGUGGGGAAUAUUGCACAAUGGGCGCAAGCCUGAUGCAGCGACGCCGCGUGGGGGAUGACGGCCUUCGGGUUGUAAACUCCUUUCGCUAGGGACGAAGCUUGUUUGUGACGGUACCUGGAGAAGAAGCACCGGCUAACUACGUGCCAGCAGCCGCGGUAAUACGUAGGGUGCGAGCGUUGUCCGGAAUUACUGGGCGUAAAGAGCUCGUAGGUGGUUUGUCGCGUCGUCUGUGUAAGCCCGCAGCUUAACUGCGGGACUGCAGGCGAUACGGGCAUAACUUGAGUGCUGUAGGGGAGACUGGAAUUCCUGGUGUAGCGGUGGAAUGCGCAGAUAUCAGGAGGAACACCGAUGGCGAAGGCAGGUCUCUGGGCAGUAACUGACGCUGAGGAGCGAAAGCAUGGGUAGCGAACAGGAUUAGAUACCCCCGUAGUC